GAUGAACGCUGGCGGCGUGCUUAACACAUGCAAGUCGAACGGUGAAGCCAAGCUUGCUUGGUGGAUCAGUGGCGAACGGGUGAGUAACACGUGAGCAACCUGCCCUGGACUCUGGGAUAAGCGCUGGAAACGGCGUCUAAUACUGGAUAUGAGCUCUCAUCGCAUGGUGGGGGUUGGAAAGAUUUUUCGGUCUGGGAUGGGCUCGCGGCCUAUCAGCUUGUUGGUGAGGUAAUGGCUCACCAAGGCGUCGACGGGUAGCCGGCCUGAGAGGGUGACCGGCCACACUGGGACUGAGACACGGCCCAGACUCCUACGGGAGGCAGCAGUGGGGAAUAUUGCACAAUGGGCGGAAGCCUGAUGCAGCAACGCCGCGUGAGGGAUGACGGCCUUCGGGUUGUAAACCUCUUUUAGCAGGGAAGAAGCGAGAGUGACGGUACCUGCAGAAAAAGCGCCGGCUAACUACGUGCCAGCAGCCGCCGUAACAC
rnacentral:rRNA from 1 species